rnacentral:rRNA from 1 species
CAGCCGCCGCGGUAAUACGUAGGUGGCAAGCGUUGUCCGGAAUUAUUGGGCGCAAAGGGCUCGCAGGCGGUUUCUUAAGUCUGAUGUGAAAGCCCCCGGCUCAACCGGGGAGGGUCAUUGGAAACUGGGAAACUUGAGUGCAGAAGAGGAGAGUGGAAUUCCACGUGUAGCGGUGAAAUGCAUAGAGAUGUGGAGGAACACCAGUGGCGAAGGCGACUCUCUGGUCUGUAACUGACGCUGAGGAGCGAAAGCGUGGGGAGCGAACAGGAUUAGAUACCCGGGUAGUCCCUGUCUCUUAUAC